AAGUUCAAAUCAAAACAACUCUAGUCGACCAUUCCUAGUCGAUUUCGAGUUGCUCAACUCGAUUAGCACAUGAGACCAUUGAGAUUUGGGUAAGAGCACAAAAUUAGGGCUUAUAACAGUUUUACUUUAUAGUUUGAACAAAUUCCAGAUACACUCCCAAUUCUCGUUCAACAUCUCCGAUCAACCACUCUUCCCUGAGCUUAAUACCCUUCAAUCUCGAGGAGAGAGAAACAAUGGCUGACCGCCGGCGACUGGCAGCAAUUUUGUCGGCAGUCGUCGACGUCAAACCUCACGAAAUCUCCGCGCUUCUUCACUCCGCUGGAUCUUUCUUCUUCAUUUUGAGUGCCUAUUUUGUGGUAUUACCAUUGCGAGAUGAAGGAGCAAUAUCAUUAGGGUUGUCAAAUCUUCCUGAGCUUUUUAUUGGAUCUUUGGUUCUUACUUUGAUUGCUGCACCUCUUUCUACAUUGCUCUUUUCGUUGCCGAAUCUAUCCAAAGGCAGGGCUCUGGUGUUGAUACACAGAUUUUUUAGCUUGUCACUUGUCGUAUUCUUUGUUUUCUGGCAUACUUCAACAAAUGGAUCUUCUACAUCCAGUAAUAAGGAUUUUGUUGGUGUGCAUUCAAGACAUGAUCAAAAUGUUGGCGGCGAGCAUUCCAAUGUUAUGCACUCUAGUUGGGAUGACCUCUCAUGGUAUUACAUCUCAGUGAGAAUUGGUUUAUUCCUUUGGAUUGCUUUGCUGAAUUUGAUAACUAUCUCUUCAACAUGGGCAAGAGUAAUCGAUGUUAUGGAUAGCGAGUCAGGUUCAAGACUGUUUGGGUUUAUUGGUGCGGGUGCUACACUUGGUCAGCUGUUCGGAUCAUUGUUUGCGACUGGAAUGGCUUGGCUGGGAUCUUUUUUACUCUUAGUAGCUGCUUUUCUAAUGGAACUAGCUGCACAAUCUUCUAAAGGAAUUAGUCAAGACACACCCCAUAUUUCUGAGGAAGACACUCCGAUGAUUAAACUGGAUGAUGAACAAAGUGGAGCGAUAAAGAAAACAUUGACGCCCAAGGAAUCUUCUCCAAAUUUUGUUUCUUCUCCAAAAAAUCCUCAACUUUUGGCUAUGUUGGAUGGCUUUAGGCUUAUACUCUCCUCACCUUAUUUGAUAUAUGUAUCACUGUAUCUAUGGCUGAGUGCCGUUGUCUCAUCGUUCUUUUACUUCCAGAAAGUUUCUAUCAUUGCCCUGACAACAUCAAGUGCUGCUGGUAGAAUGAAAUUGUUUGCGGAGAUCAAUAGUUUUAUUGCCCUUUUUAUAUUUUCAGGGCAAAUCACCUUAACGGGUCGCAUACUUACUGUUGCUGGGGUCACUGUUGCAAUUAGCUCUGCUCCCUUAGCUGGUUUACUCAAUUUAGUUGCUAUAUCUGUAUGGCCAACUUGGAUAGUCGUUGGUGUUUGUGAAACCCUGAGGAAGGUUGUUAUGUAUGUUGUAACUAGGCCAGGAAGGGAACUCCUGUUUACUGUUGUUUCACAGGACGAGAAAUACAAAGCCAAGGUGUGCAUAGAUGUAAUUGUGCAAAGGCUUGGAGAUGCCACUGCAGCGGGGAUGUUCAAGCUGUUUUUUGGAUCUUUUGAGGAGAAAACAUCAACUAUAUCACUCUACGCCCUUCCUGUAAGUCUUAAUCUGUGGUGCUCUUACACACUCAUCGCUUGUUCCCACUCACAGGAGGCCUCCUGCCUCUGCAAUGACUGAAUCACAUUAUUUGCUGUAGUUGUAAUGCCCUUUUUUGCAAACAUAUGCUCUCCUCUGGCACAAACUGUUUUGUGGGUUGACGUGCGCCUACUUAUUAUCUCACCUGUCGGAUUCAAAAUUUUCUAGAUAGCGAAGUUGCAGGUGUGUUUAUUGUGGAUACUUACAGCAUUACACUUGGGAAAUCGACGAGAACAAAUGGUAAAGAUUCAGGCUCGUACGGUAACCUCAGAUUGUUGUGAAG